rnacentral:rRNA from 1 species
GUAGGUGGCAAGCGUUGUCCGGAAUUAUUGGGCGUAGAGCGCGCGCAGGCGGUCCUUUAAGUCUGAUGUGAAAGCCCACGGCUCAACCGUGGAGGGUCAUUGGAAACUGGGGGACUUGAGUACAGAAGAGGAAAGCGGAAUUCCAAGUGUAGCGGUGAAAUGCGUAGAGAUUUGGAGGAACACCAGUGGCGAAGGCGGCUUUCUGGUCUGUAACUGACGCUGAGGCGCGAAAGCGUGGGGAGCAAACAGGAUUAGAUACCCUGGUAGUCCACGCCGUAAACGAUGAGUGCUAAGUGUUAGGGGGUUUCCCGCCCCCUUAGUGCUGCAGCUAACGCAUUAAGCACUCCGCCUGGGGAGUACGGCCGCAAGGCUG